rnacentral:lncRNA from 1 species
AUGACCGGAACGCCGCCGAAAAUUUCUUUGGAUGCUGUGUAUUGGAAAACAUCUGUCUCGAGUACAAUUGUGGAAAAUCCCUUGUUUGAAUCAUUUCAAACUGGCGUGAAAGGAGAAGAGGAGAAAAUGUGGCACGGGCUGAUCCCCCGAGCCCUGCGGUGGCGAUCUCGCAGGAGCUCUCCAUGCGCCGGCCCCGGGGGCACUGCAGAAGAAUGGCACCGGUGUCCCCAGGGUGUCCCCAACCACGCAGACAGUCACGAGCCAGCCCAAGGCGUGCACGAAGAUCAGGAAAUGAAAUCCGAAAUCGUGGCGACGGGGAAGAAGGAGAGAGACCUGCUGGCUCACUGACACCAACCCAGGACAUAACCAACAGAACCGCACCUGCAAACCAUCCAGCACGGUGGAAGAUGGACCCAAACAUAGGGAGAUGAACCCAAACUCUGGAAAACUUGCAUGGUUUUAUUGCUUCUGUAUUGAAGUCAUCUGGGACGAGAGCGUGGGUCCAGCCCAAGGCUCUGCUUGCAAAUAUUAAACACUUUGUAAUAACUCUGCAGUAACUCAGCGCAUCUUUUCGGGUCCGCUCGGUGACUCUGACCCGACUUUCUUCCUCCCCUGCUUCCCUCCUCCUGGUUUCCACCAGGCCCCGAGUGGUAGGAGAAGCACAAUGGCACUGCUCUGCCUUUGUUUCAGCCUUGAUUUAGCCACCCUUUUAAGGACCCUGCUGAAUAAUUCAGUGUUAUCAUUCAGGAUGACGCUGGAUUAUUACAAGGGUUUCUUCCCCCCCCCCCCCUCCCCGUAACCUUUAAAUUCUUUUCACACGUGAAUGGGUUCAAAGGAAGUCGUGUAAGGAAAACACACAACGAGGAGGUUGCGGCUCUCCCCCUCCGCUGUCAGGUUGAUAAAUAUAAUGUGUCACCAAUUAAAAACUCAUUGCCAUUCUCCUGCCGCAGCCACGGCCUCGUUAAGGUCCUCCUCCCGGGGUGGCUCCCAGGAUCCGCUGCUAUCAUUGUCGAUAACAGAGGGCCUGUUUUUUUUCCCAUCCUGGGCCAUUUCAGGGCUCCACAUUGGCAUGUAAAUAAGUUAUUCACUCGACAUCACUUUCUGAUAGAAAAAUGACCAUGAAACUCUUUGAUUUUGGGUUUGCUCUUGUCGCGAGUGCACAAUGAAAUCAAGAGUUUCAGUUUUGUGUCUGUGGCUUGUGGAGGGCUUUUUUUUUUUUUUUUUUAAUUUGCCUUUUCUCUUUCGCAGCAAAUGCCCCCUUUUCACAGUAUUUGUAUGGAAAUCGUCCCAUCACACAAUUUAAUGCGGGCAUGGGUUGACCUGGUAGCUGUCCCGACUUCAGCACGGCAGAUCGUUGUUUAUUUUUGCCCUCCCCAGGAACAUUAAAAAACAAUCUGGGUGAUCAAUAAGGACUUGUUUUCUUUCUUUUUCCUUUUCUUUCCUCUUUGCACCACUAAUGCCUUUGAAGAAGAGCGGGGAGGCUGGCACCAGAGACCCCCCAACACUUUUUCCCAUGGGGACACAUGGAAGGGACCCAGCUGGGGCUGUCCCACAGGGGAGCAAACUCCAGGGCAGGCUGGUGGAGAGGCCAACAACCUCUCCUUGGACCAUUAAUGCCUCUUUGCCUCUCUCCAGAUGUUUUUUUUCCAUAGAUAUUUCAAACCACAUCUCCAGACCUGUCCUCUUGGGAUCCCAACGUGCUCUCCAAGCCUUAUGCACAGCAGCUGGGCGAAGAGGAUGGAGACAAUUUCUUAGUAGGCAUUGAAAACCAUUCCUUCAAACGUCUCCAUCUGGCUGAAAAGUUUCUUUCCAAGCUUCCCCGUGGCAGAGGUUGGUGCUGCCACCAAUAUCCAUCGCCGUGAGGCUGUGUUUGUGCUCGUUUCAAGGUCACCUCGACAUUUUUGCUCUUUUCUCCCUGGGAAGGCUCUGCUGCCUGGUGCUCGUGGCCAUGCCUCUCAUUGUUUUUCCAUUGCCUUGCCAAUUUUUUUGGCAAAAAGCUAUUAAUAUAUAUUGGAAAACUGCCCAAGAGAGUGGUAAAUAAGAAGGUCUGGGCCCUUGGCUGUUAUUUCAGGCUGAGUCCUAGGGCUUUGGGGUGUUCAGCUACUGAAACAAGAGCAUCUACACAGCUCAGCUGUGGUCAGGGCUCCUCUUUUCAUCAUCUUAAGAGCUCACCCAUCACACUAACCUGGGAUGGAACAUUUCCAGGCAGGGAACACCAUGACUAAGCUUUGGGGCUUCCUUUUUUUUUUAUUUUUUUUUUAUGUUCUCUCUCUCUCAAGCUUCAGCAGAGAUUCUGGAGAGAGAUAUUUGAGAAGCUUUUAUACUGGGGAGCUGGGACACCAAUUUUAGUAAUAAGGAUAAUUCUGCGCAGCGUUUGAAGUGGAAAUGCAUGCAGAUUUGGAGCGUGUAUGCUCCCAGCAACGUUCUGCAAAGCCUUGGCUGCUCGCACAAUUUAAUAAAGCGAAAAGAAAGCCAUGACUCUCCCCCA